GGGGGGGGGCACAACCUGUUUGUUGGUCUUUGUGAAAAAAAUAGUACAUUGUCCUUUAAAUGAUUUAAUAGCAUACAAAAAUAUAAUAUGUUACAACAAGUAUUAUGUCAAUAAAUUAGUGGAAAAAAAUACUAUUUAUUAUCUUUAUGGUAGUACAGUCAUGACAGUAGACUCCGGCCAAUCGGAUACCCAAAAUGUCAGCUAAAAAUAUCCGAUUACCCGAUAUAUUCAAUUAGACGAUGAAUGUAUAUUCAUUGAAUAUUCUACAAUAAUAAGUAGAUCUAUUGCUUAAUAUGUGAAAGGGCUGGAGGAUUGAUGGAGUGAUUUUUAUCAGUUACAUCACCACGAUGUUUGCGUAAAAAAUUAUCAGCUGAUUAUGUAAUGAUUAAAUUUGUUUGCACUUGCAGUUUUUAAAUCCUAUAUUUUAUUAAAAUAAAUCAAAUGUCCUGAAAUAUUUAUGUGAAUUAUUAUCUUCCAUCCAUAGUUUGUCUUUACUUGUUUAGUAUAAAACAAA
rnacentral:lncRNA from 1 species